rnacentral:rRNA from 1 species
GAUGAACGCUGGCGGCGUGCCUAAUACAUGCAAGUCGAGCGAACGGACGAGAAGCUUGCUUCUCUGAUGUUAGCGGCGGACGGGUGAGUAACACGUGGAUAACCUACCUAUAAGACUGGGAUAACUUCGGGAAACCGGAGCUAAUACCGGAUAAUAUUUUGAACCGCAUGGUUCAAAAGUGAAAGACGGUCUUGCUGUCACUUAUAGAUGGAUCCGCGCUGCAUUAGCUAGUUGGUAAGGUAACGGCUUACCAAGGCAACGAUGCAUAGCCGACCUGAGAGGGUGAUCGGCAACACUGGAACUGAGACACGGUCCAGACUCCUACGGGAGGCAGCAGUAGGGAAUCUUCGCAAUGGGCGAAAGCCUGACGGAGCAACGCCGCGUGAGUGAUGAAGGUCUUCGGAUCGUAAAACUCUGUUAUUAGGGAAGAACAUAUGUGUAAGUAACUGUGCACAUCUUGACGGUACCUAAUCAGAAAGCCACGGCUAACUACGUG